AUGACACUCCAAAAAUGCCAGAAGAGAAUAUUGCCAAAAGGGUCCAAGGCGCCAGCCAGGCCAACUGGCCCAGCAGCGCUGAGCCGCAGCCCACCAACAAUCGAGCUGGCCUGCCCCAGCGCGGCGCACGCCCGAACCCCUCUCCCCUCGGUCGCCCGCUCGCUCUCCUCUCUCCCUCUCCCACUGACCCGCGGGGCCCGCCCUCAUCCCCACCCCUUCUCUUUCCCCUCGCCAGAGCGCGUUCGCCGCCGCCGCCGCGUCCGAAUUCAACGGGAUCACGAUCCCGAGUCGCCCCUGCCCCAAGAAAGCAGAGACGACCCCGAGCUCGUCCGCCACCCGCCGGAGCUGCAGAGCACCGGGCUCUGUUUCGCCUUGCACUCGACGUCUGCGCCGUCCCCGAGCUCCAACAACUCCGCCCCCGACUUCCCCAAGCUCCGCCGCAUCCGCCCGACAUCUUCGCCACCCUCGCGGACCACCGGAGACCCCGCCCCGCUCGACGCCGACCUCCGCCACCCUCUGUCACCGUCGACCUCCGCCGCAUACGCCCCCACCAGGCGCAUCCCCCACCCCACCCUCCCGCAACCCAUCCUCCUCCCCCGAUCCAAAUCCACACCUCCCUCCAACUUCUACCGGCGCCGCCGCCAGAAAACCACCCAGUGCGCCGCCCCGCCGCUAUCCACCUUACCAGGGCCUUCCCCAACCCUCUCCUUCCUCCUGACGGGCCAUGCGUUCCCCUCCAUCUUCCUGCGCUGGACCUUCCUCGACCACGCCCACGUUCAACCGCCUCCACACCCCGGGAACGAACUCCACCGGCUCCAAGCGUCUCGCGCGGCUGCCGGCGUGGAUCCGGGCACGCCGACCCCAGGCACCUCCCAUGGCUGCCGAUGUAGAUCCGCCCUAGGAGCCAUGCGCGACUGCCGGCACGGAUCCGGCAGCGCCGCUCCCAGGCACCCUACACUGCUGCCGGCGCGGGUCUGCCCCCGCCGCCCCGCCAUGGACAGAUGUCUCAACCCCUCGUGCAGGUAUCUUCUUCCCCACAUGCAGGUCGCCGCCGCAGCCCAUGCCUCGAGCGGUGGUUGGGGUCGGCAUUGGUCCUGGCGCCGCUGCCUCAGGUCGUGGCCGCUAUGCCGGUGCAGCCGUCCGGCGGCUCAGAGGGCAAAAUUUCAUCUAGCAGUACACAUAGAGACGUAUUUUGCCAUGCGUUGCAUCUCGGCUGUGUUCUCCUCCUUGCCGAGUUGGUGGCCAUGCACGGCAGACUCCGGCGACCACAUACCCGCCACCGCGCUUCGGCCACUUCCAGCGUUGCCGUCGGCCAUGCCCCUGGUCCUCCUCUACCCCCCUGAACCUCUGCCAUCCCCUUCACCAGUGCCCACUCUGGCCGCCCACCGCUCCCCUUCAACCGAAGCAGUUCUUCCGAGCGACCCCCACAGCUCUCUCCUCCCCCAUAUGCAGAUCACUGGUAACACACCCCCUUCCAUGCCGCAUUUUAUUUGGGCAAUGUCAGUACGCAUCGCCUGUUGUUGCAGUCCAUCCCACGGGCACCUUCAGUACGCAUCGCCCCCACCUUGGUUAAAGCUCUGGCUCCCCUGGAUCAAACUGCCACCGGUGAGCUUUUUUUCAGAACCAGUGCGGCAUCGUGCGGUACCAUGGCGUCCUUUGUGCAGUGCGGAUGGGCGAGGCGUGCAUUUUACUUGGAGUGGGCAGAAGUGCACUUAUCUCCCCCAAUGUAGUGCGCUGGACUGUGGCCGUGCAGUUCGGCAGCCGCACGCCCGAGGAGGGAAGGCACGACAAGUUUGGAGGGGGAAGCGGGAAGCAGGAGAGAAAGGAUCGGUGCACAUGGUGAGCUCGGGCUCGUCCAACUUCUCACCAGUGACCGGAGAGGUCGAUGGGGUCGGGAUUGUGCAACAUUCGUCGGAGUUUUAUCUUCCCGACAAGUCCUAUUCCGGCUUGGAGUUUUUGUCGAAGCAUCGCUGCCCUGGCCAUGGCCUUGUCCCUGCCCGCCGUGUAUCAUGGGGAGAAGCUAGCAGUGGCCGCCGUUUUUUAGGUUGUCCAUUAGAUUUACCAGAAGAGUGUGAAUGGGUGGUGUGGGUUAACCCAGCUCCUCCAUUGCGUGUUGACCUUGCUUUUGAAGACUUGCACGCAGAGGUUGAAGGCAGUUGGAUCAAAUGUCACCAUCUGAAGAAGGAAAACAUGGAGCUGGCAAGGAAGAACAGGGCUUUGAAGAAGAAACUUAGAGAGAGAGAUGAGAUGUUGCUGGUGUGGGCAUUGCUGUAG
rnacentral:rRNA from 1 species